ensembl:lncRNA
UUUGGGCAUGCUGAUCUCUAUCAGACCUGUUCUUCAGUCAGCCUGACACACAGCAAUGCCUAACACAGUGUGAGAAGGGGGAGAGAAAAGCACAGACAUGCCUGAACCAUCUAGAGAAGCUGGUCCUGGAAGGAGGAUCAUCCUUUCCACACUUUAAAACACAGUACAGGUGAGGUCCAGUCAGCUUUCAGGAGUGUCACAGGUCAGACAUUAAAGGAGGAUUAAGGAGCUGGGAUUCAUGCCUUUGCAUCUCCCUUUGCAGUACACUAUGUGCCUCAUGUAAUGUCCAAGGGGCUGCAGGUCUCCUAGAUUUGAGCUAUGUUUUAUCAAUUUAAAAUAGAUUUGAUGCUGUUCCCAAAUCUUUCCUAAGGGCAGGGAAGCAAAAUGUCGCCUUUCAUUGCUUCCCCUUGUAUCACACCAGCAUUACCAUUAAGUGCAUCACACAGAGGAGAAAUCCAAAAGCUCAGAUUCCAAGAAGGUAGAUAAGAAAAUUCCUUCAAACACUACUUGAUACAAAUCAUGUCUCAGAAGGACUGAAAAAGCUGAGGAGCAUGUUGAUGAGUCACUUCAAUUAAAGAUUAAUUUAUGGUAACUUGGGAAAAAGAAAUAAAGCCUCAGCUUGAGCCUGAGGUAGGCAAGAUACCACUGGUUUGUAACUUGAGAUGCUGCCCUACUCCUUGGAAUGUGCUUGAAGCCAAGCACCAGGCAGUCAUGAGAUGGUGGGGUCUAAUGUAAAUGAAAAUGUUUGCAAUACAUUUGGUCACAUAAACACAGGAGGAGUUGUGACUAGUGAAACUUCUGCUGAGUAGCUGUUGGACUUACUCACUACUUAACCACUGACUGUUGUCAAUUACCCCUCUCACAGCUAGGAUUACAGGCCCAGAGAUUCAGUCCCUGGAUGCCCUCAAGAAUGUAUGCAUUGUGCUUUGAUCCAGAGGUUUUCUAAAAAAGACAGCAUGUUGAGACAGAAAAACACAGAGAGGAUUUGCGAUACUAAAUAUUCUAUCAAUUAUAGAUCAAGGAAAACAGAGGUACCCACAAAAGCCACAAAGUCAGAGAAUGAUUUUGAAACAAUGGACUGCUUAUACUGAACUGCAGAAAGACUUGGAUAUUCCUGAUGGAUACAACAGAUUCCUAUUCCUAAAGGAUACUUGUAGUUAAACAGGUUUUGGUCUGCAGAUUACUACAGUGUCAUGCAGAAGUGAAAAGGAAGCCUGCUGCCCACUGGUCUAAAUUCCCAGUGAAUGGGGGUUUGAAUCUGCAAUGGAAAUGAUUUAGGAGACUGCACGCCAAAAAAACAAAAAAACAAACAAAAACAACUAAAAAAAUCUUAACUGCAGCCUUCUUUCUGAAGUGAACCUUCACAUGCAGCAUGAACAAUCUCAGAAUUGUGUUGCUCAAACUGUGCAGAAAGAGGCGGUUCCUGCAACAAGGGUCACACUGGUUUCCUUAAAUGCAUUAAAAACAAUCAAUUACUGAUAGUUUGCCUAUUAUAAAGGAUCUUCACUCAGUCAAAAGGGAGAGCAGAAGCAUUAUAUGCUUAUUUGAAGACUGAAAAGCUUUUCAAGAAGCAUGAUAAACACUAAGAUCUGAAAAGCAAAUGGUCACAAUUGGAUUAUUAACUUAUCACGCUUAAGUUUUAUCAUGCCUGAUCUGUACUCUGUUUGCUAGAACUGUUGUGGCUCUAUAAUUAAAAAAAUAAUAAUGUUUUGUUCCAACAUUCUUUUAAACAAAGC